AAGAACCAGACAGUCAGCGGCGACUCAGCAGCUAAAUGCUCUACCUGGGUUCAGCCUAGAGGGCCUCAAUGCUGUUUUCAGUUCCAGUCCAAACAAUUUGUACACCUGUUGAAGAGAAAAAUAAAAUAUGACAGCAGCGCAAAGUCCAGAGGAUUUAAGCGAUUUACACUGAGGCCUUAAAUCUCAGCAGCAAAGGCCAGGGUACUUAGCAAGUCCUUUUCAUGGAGUGCGAGCAUGCAGAGACAUUUAGGCUCUGACCGGUAUUCUGCACAGGCUGAACAUACACUCUAGAAUACCUUUGAUGUUGCCAUAAUUGUGUGUGUGAUCCUUAAUCACAGAUGUCAUCCAAUUUUAUUAAAUCUAGUGUAGAUAAAACC
rnacentral:lncRNA from 1 species